rnacentral:rRNA from 1 species
CAGCAGCCACGGUAAUACGUAGGUGGCAAGCGUUGUCCGGAAUUAUUGGGCGUAAAGGGCUCGCAGGCGGUUUCUUAAGUCUGAUGUGAAAGCCCCCGGCUCAACCGGGGAGGGUCAUUGGAAACUGGGAAACUUGAGUGCAGAAGAGGAGAGUGGAAUUCCACGUGUAGCGGUGAAAUGCGUAGAGAUGUGGAGGAACACCAGUGGCGAAGGCGACUCUCUGGUCUGUAACUGACGCUGAGGAGCGAAAGCGUGGGGAGCGAACAGGAUUAGAGACCCGUGUAGUCCCUGUCUCUUAUAC